CACGUAGGGUGCGAGCGUUGUCCGGAAUUAUUGGGCGUAAAGAGCUCGUAGGCGGUGUGUCGCGUCGGCCGUGAAAACCUGCAGCUUAACUGUGGGCGUGCGGUCGAUACGGGCAUCACUGGAGUUCGGCAGGGGAGACUGGAAUUCCUGGUGUAGCGGUGAAAUGCGUAGAUAUCUGGAGGAACAUCGGUGGCGAAGGCGGCAUCCUGGACCGGUAUUGACGCUGAGGCGCGAAAGCCAGGGGAGCAAACGGG
rnacentral:rRNA from 1 species